rnacentral:rRNA from 1 species
UACGUAGGGUGCAAGCGUUGUCCGGAAUUAUUGGGCGUAAAGAGCUCGUAGGCGGUCUGUCGCGUCGGCUGUGAAAACUCGGGGCUCAACCCCGAGCCUGCAGUCGAUACGGGGCAGACUUGAGUGCUGUAGGGGAGACUGGAAUUCCUGGUGUAGCGGUGAAAUGCGCAGAUAUCAGGAGGAACACCGGUGGCGAAGGCGGUUCUCUGGGCAUUACCUGACGCUGAGGAGCGAAAGUGUGGGGAGCGAACAGG